rnacentral:rRNA from 1 species
UGGGGAAUAUUGGACAAUGGGCGCAAGCCUGAUCCAGCCAUGCCGCGUGAGUGAUGAAGGCCUUAGGGUUGUAAAGCUCUUUCGACGGGGACGAUAAUGACGGUACCCGUAGAAGAAGCCCCGGCUAACUUCGUGCCAGCAGCCGCGGUAAUACGAAGGGGGCUAGCGUUGCUCGGAAUCACUGGGCGUAAAGGGCGCGUAGGCGGACGUUUAAGUCAGAGGUGAAAGCCCAGGGCUCAACCCUGGAAUGGCCUUUGAUACUGGACGUCUUGAGUCUGGUAGAGGUUGGUGGAACUGCGAGUGUAGAGGUGAAAUUCGUAGAUAUUCGCAAGAACACCGGUGGCGAAGGCGGCCAACUGGACCAGAACUGACGCUGAGGCGCGAAAGCGUGGGGAGCAAACAGGAUUAGAUACCCUGGUAGUCACGCCGUAAACGAUGGAUGCUAGCCGUUGGCCGUUUACCGGUCAGUGGCGCAGCUAACGCGUUAAGCAU